GACGAACGCUGGCGGCGUGCUUAACACAUGCAAGUCGAACGGAAAGGCCCUGCUUUUGUGGGGUGCUCGAGUGGCGAACGGGUGAGUAACACGUGAGUAACCUGCCCUUGACUUUGGGAUAACUUCAGGAAACUGGGGCUAAUACCGGAUAGGAGCUCCUGCUGCAUGGUGGGGGUUGGAAAGUUUCGGCGGUUGGGGAUGGUCUCGCGGCUUAUCAGCUUGUUGGUGGGGUAGUGGCUUACCAAGGCUUUGACGGGUAGCCGGCCUGAGAGGGUGACCGGCCACAUUGGGACUGAGAUACGGCCCAGACUCCUACGGGAGGCAGCAGUGGGGAAUAUUGCACAAUGGGCGGAAGCCAGAUGCAGAAACGCCGCGUGCGGGAUAACGGCCUUCGGGUUGUAAACCGCUUUCGCCUGUGACGAAGCGUGAGUGACGGUAAUGGGUAAAGAAGCACCGGCUAACUACGUG
rnacentral:rRNA from 1 species